rnacentral:rRNA from 1 species
UACGAAGGGGGCUAGCGUUGCUCGGAAUUACUGGGCGUAAAGCGCACGUAGGCGGAUUGUUAAGACGGGGGUGAAAUCCUGGAGCUCAACUCCAGAACUGCCUUCGAUACUGGCGAUCUCGAGUUCGGGAGAGGUGAGUGGAACUGCGAGUGUAGAGGUGAAAUUCGUAGAUAUUCGCAAGAACACCAGUGGCGAAGGCGGCUCACUGGCCCGAUACUGACGCUGAGGUGCGAAAGCGUGGGGAGCAAACAGG